rnacentral:rRNA from 1 species
CUCCCACCCGUGUUUAUUUUACCUUGUUGCUUCGGCGGGCCCGCCUUANCUGGCCGCCGGGGGGCUUACGCCCCCGGGCCCGCGCCCGCCGAAGACACCCUCGAACUCUGUCUGAAGAUUGAAGUCUGAGUGAAAAUAUAAAUUAUUUAAAACUUUCAACAACGGAUCUCUUGGUUCCGGCAUCGAUGAAGAACGCAGCGAAAUGCGAUACGUAAUGUGAAUUGCAAAUUCAGUGAAUCAUCGAGUCUUUGAACGCACAUUGCGCCCCCUGGUAUUCCGGGGGGCAUGCCUGUCCGAGCGUCAUUGCUGCCCUCAAGCCCGGCUUGUGUGUUGGGCCCCGUCCCCCGAUCUCCGGGGGACGGGCCCGAAAGGCAGCGGCGGCACCGCGUCCGGUCCUCGAGCGUAUGGGGCUUUGUCACCCGCUCUGUANGCCCGGCCGGCGCUUGCCGAUCAACCCAAAUUUUUAUCCAGGUUGACCUCGGAUCANGUAGGGAUACCCGCUGAACUUAAACAUAUCAAUAAGCGGAGGA